rnacentral:rRNA from 1 species
GAUGAACGCUGGCGGCGUGCCUAACACAUGCAAGUCGAGCGAUUCUCUUCGGAGAAGAGCGGCGGACGGGUGAGUAACGCGUGGGUAACCUGCCCUGUACUCACGGAUAACAUACCGAAAGGUAUGAUAAUACGAGAUAAUAUACUUUUAUCGCAUGGUAGAAGUAUCCAAGCUCCGGCGGUACAGGAUGGACCCGCGUCUGAUUAGCUAGUUGGUAAGGUAACGGCUUACCAAGGCGACGAUCAGUAGCCAACCUGAGAGGGUGAUCGGCCACAUUGGAACUGAGACACGGUCCAAACUCCUACGGGAGGCAGCAGUGGGGAAUAUUGCACAAUGGGCGAAAGCCUGAUGCAGCAACGCCGCGUGAGCGAUGAAGGCCUUCGGGUCGUAAAGCUCUGUCCUCAAGGAAGAUAAUGACGGUACUUGAGGAGGAAGCCCCGGCUAACUACGUGCCAGCAGCCGCCGUAA